UUCUGAAAAACUACUAGAAAUCAUAACCUGAGGUAGGAAAAUACUGAGAGGAAAUAAUACACUAGGCUACCCUUCUCCAGAUAUUCCUGAGCAGCUUUCCUACCUAGUGCACGAUCACACGCCAAACAAGAAACACUGAACUUCGGUGCAGAUGGCAGUCUGAAUUUUAGGGGAGGAACAGCAGUCCUCUCAACCUACUGCAAACCAGCACCCGAGCGCAAAUGAGAGGACACCACGGGUUUGUUCCUUCACCUUCUCUGUUCCUAAGAAGCCCUAGAAUAAAUAGAUGGAGGAGAGGCUGUUUUUUGUGAAAAUACCAUGAAGGUAUGUUUUUGGCUGACAGAGCAUGAAGCUUUACCUCAGAGCUAAGCUCUUGAGCAGACUCGCUGAACUGUGAGUAAAGAGGACUUUGCUGCAGCUAUGCAAAACAUGAAAUUAUCGGGUCAUCUACCCAGGGCUGUUAAAUAGCAUGCCCCGUUCCCUAAGAAGCAAGCACAACAUCUUACAUGUAGAGUGACGAUCCAUCCGCAAAAAUAAAAAAAAACCACCAAAACCUGGCAUAAUGUAACCCAAACAGGAAAGCAGUAACCUAAACCUAGGAUUUUAUAAGAGAAGUACAGCAGCUACUCUGCCAGAACAUGUCCCUUGGUGUUUGCUAAAUAGCGUGUGUAGAUAUAAUCAAUUGCUCAUUAGAGAUGCCACGCACGGCACGGAUACAAACAAUCAUGCCAGUACUGAUUUACCCUUGACCCUGAGCUGUUAUCACAUGAGGAGUGAGGUACAAGGCCACAAGAGCUAGGGAGUAAUUUUCCCUGUUCCCCAUGGGAGAAUUUCUUCAUCACUUUGCAAUUACUCUUCAGGAAGGCACAAGCCUGAUGCAUCUCAGAAUUAGACUACCGGUACCUUUGGAGGUGUUGAGACUGCGCUGUGAGAUCCCCCAAAGUAACCCCUACCUAAGAACUGGGCAGAAAGUCUCUCCCAGGAGCUCACUGCUCUCAGGAAGCUGAGAAAAGCCUCUCUGCUCUGCAAUAUUGCAACCCCUGCAGCUGCUGCAAGUCAUCCCAUGUCUGCAGGGCAGCAAGCGUCUCUAAAUCAGGGGCUGUCGAAGAGACUCCCUUCACUCCUCACCUGCUCACAUCACAAGCGUGAGAUGAAUAACUUCUAUCGGAUGAGGCUGUACCAGAAAAUACACCACAAUGUGCGCUUCAGCUGCUGACCACCAUCAAGCCCAUGGGAGUAAGUCUGAUAUAAACCUCUCCAACAUGGUCCCCGGGCUCUCUGCACCUGCUGUUUCCCUCCCAGACCCUCUCCCGCUGCUCAGCUAAUGCAGGCACAGCCCAUGGGAUACACCUGGCCCUGCUGUGUGCUUCUCUGACAGAGACGCUGAUUCACAUCGGGGAUGGGGCAGCAGCAGCGACGUUCAGCUCAUCCUGUUGACGUCUAUUCACCCUGACAGCUAAAGUGGAGCCAAUAACGAUACUUGCAGCAGGCACAGAUUAUCGUAGGUGCUGUAUACAAACAGCGUGCCCUAGUUCUUUGCUAAUGACCCUUGGACUCCUCCUGCUCCUUCAUGCAGACAGAAGCCUGUCCCAUUAGGUCACAGUGGUGGUGAGGAGGAGGCAUGUGAGUGCGCUGUGUCUACCCCUAAGCCGCAGUCCUCCCCGAAGUCCCCGCUCCUGCUGUGACAGCGGGGAUGGGUACGCUGUUCUCCGGCGAUUUCGCUGGGUCUCUCACCACGAGUACUUUUUUAAUUGAAUAAACCAACUCCCGGCUGUGGGAGAGCACAGGGUACUUUUCGACGGCAUCCUUAGUGUUCGAAGCAGAGGACAAAAGCUUCGGCUCCCCGGGCUUUUGGGGAAUGAGGGGACGCUUGCAAACCGCAGCCUCUGCACUUCUGAUCUCCUCAAACCCGCACGGCUUUAACUGGGGCGGGUGAGAGGAGGAGGGCACCGGGCCGGCACAGCAUCUCCGGGACGGACACAGCACCUCCGGGAUGGGCACAGCAUCUCCGGGAUGGGCACAGCACCUCCGGGAUGGGCACAGCACCUCCGGGAUGGGCACAGCACCUCCGGGAUGGGCACAGCAUCUCCGGGAUGGGCACAGCACCUCCGGGAUGGGCACAACACCUCCGGGAUGGGCACAGCACCUCCGGGAUGGGCACAGCAUCUCCGGGAUGGGCACUCAUCUCCGGGAUGGGCACAGCAUCUCCGGGAUGGGCACAGCAUCUCCGGGAUGGGUACAACACCUCCGGGAUGGGCACAGCAUCUCCGGGACGGACACAGCAUCUCCGGGAUGGGCACAGCAUCUCCGGGAU